rnacentral:rRNA from 1 species
GCGCGAAAACUUUACAAUGCGGGAAACCGCGAUAAGGGGACACCGAGUGCCAGCAUCCUAUGUUGGCUGUCCAUAUGUAUAAAUAACAUGUGUUAGCAAGGGCCGGGCAAGACCGGUGCCAGCCGCCGCGGUAACACCGGCGGCCCGAGUGGUGGCCACUAUUAUUGGGUCUAAAGGGUCCGUAGCCGGUUUGGUCAGUCUUCCGGGAAAUCUGACGGCUUAACCGUUAGGCUUUCGGGGGAUACUGCCAGGCUUGGGACCGGGAGAGGUAAGAGGUACUACGGGGGUAGGAGUGAAAUCUUGUAAUCCCUGUGGGACCACCAGUGGCGAAGGCGUCUUACCAGAACGGGUCCGACGGUGAGGGACGAAAGCUGGGGGCACGAACCGGAUUAGAUACCCGGGUAGUCCCAGCCGUAAACUAUGCUCGCUAGGUGUCAGGGACGGUGCGACCGUUUCUGGUGCCGUAGGGAAGCCGUGAAGCGAGCCACCUGGGAAGUACGGUCGCAAGGCUGGAAACUUAAAGGAAUUGGGACGGGGGUAGCGACUACGAACGGGGUGGAGCCUGCGGUUUAAGUUGGGA